rnacentral:tRNA from 1 species
AAAAUUCGUUGGCUUUAUAGACCGUGAGG